rnacentral:rRNA from 1 species
GACGAACGCUGGCGGCGUGCUUAACACAUGCAAGUCGAACGGAAAGGCCCUGCUUUUGUGGGGUGCUCGAGUGGCGAACGGGUGAGUAACACGUGAGUAACCUGCCCUUGACUUUGGGAUAACUUCAGGAAACUGGGGCUAAUACCGGAUAGGAGCUCCUGCUGCAUGGUGGGGGUUGGAAAGUUUCGGCGGUUGGGGAUGGACUCGCGGCUUAUUAGCUUGUUGGUGGGGUAGUGGCUUACCAAGGCUUUGACGGGUAGCCGGCCUGAGAGGGUGACCGGCCACAUUGGGACUGAGAUACGGCCCAGACUCCUACGGGAGGCAGCAGUGGGGAAUAUUGCACAAUGGGCGGAAGCCUGAUGCAGCAACGCCGCGUGCGGGAUGACGGCCUUCGGGUUGUAAACCGCUUUCGCCUGUGACGAAGCGUGAGUGACGGUAAUGGGUAAAGAAGCACCGGCUAACUACGUGCCAGCAGCCGCGGUGAUACGUAGGGUGCGAGCGUUGUCCGGAUUUAUUGGGCGUAAAGGGCUCGUAGGUGGUUGAUCGCGUCGGAAGUGUAAUCUUGGGGCUUAACCCUGAGCGUGCUUUCGAUACGGGUUGACUUGAGGAAGGUAGGGGAGAAUGGAAUUCCUGGUGGAGCGGUGGAAUGCGCAGAUAUCAGGAGGAACACCAGUGGCGAAGGCGGUUCUCUGGGCCUUUCCUGACGCUGAGGAGCGAAAGCGUGGGGAGUGAACGGGCUUAGAUACCCUGGUAGUCCACGCUGUAAACGGUGGGUACUAGGUGUGGGGUCCAUUCCACGGGUUCCGUGCCGUAGCUAACGCUUUAAGUACCCCGCCUGGGGAGUACGGCCGCAAGGCUAAAACUCAAAGGAAUUGACGGGGCCCCGCACAAGCGGCGGAGCAUGCGGAUUAAUUCGAUGCAACGCGUAGAACCUUACCUGGGUUUGACAUGGAUCGGGAGUGCUCAGAGAUGGGUGUGCCUCUUUUGGGGUCGGUUCACAGGUGGUGCAUGGCUGUCGUCAGCUCGUGUCGUGAGAUGUUGGGUUAAGUCCCGCAACGAGCGCAACCCUUGUUCACUGUUGCCAGCACGUUAUGGUGGGGACUCAGUGGAGACCGCCGGGGUCAACUCGGAGGAAGGUGGGGAUGACGUCAAGUCAUCAUGCCCCUUAUGUCCAGGGCUUCACGCAUGCUACAAUGGCUGGUACAGAGAGUGGCGAGCCUGUGAGGGUGAGCGAAUCUCGGAAAGCCGGUCUCAGUUCGGAUUGGGGUCUGCAACUCGACCUCAUGAAGUCGGAGUCGCUAGUAAUCGCAGAUCAGCAACGCUGCGGUGAAUACGUUCCCGGG